rnacentral:rRNA from 1 species
UACGUAGGGGGCGAGCGUUGUCCGGAUUUACUGGGCGUAAAGAGCGCGUAGGCGGAUGUUUAAGUGUGGCCUCAAAGCCCCCGGCUCAACCGGGGAUCUGGGUUGCAAACUGGGCAUCUUGAGGGGGAUAGAGGAGAGUGGAAUUCCUGGUGUAGCGGUGAAAUGCGUAGAUAUCAUUUGGAACACCAAUGGUGAAAACAGCUCGCUGGGAGUGUGCUGACGCUGAGACAGAAAGCCAGGGGAGCGAACGGG